UACGAAGGGGGCUAGCGUUGUUCGGAAUUACUGGGCGUAAAGCGCACGUAGGCGGAUAUUUAAGUCAGGGGUGAAAUCCCAGAGCUCAACUCUGGAACUGCCUUUGAUACUGGGUAUCUUGAGUAUGGAAGAGGUAAGUGGAAUUGCGAGUGUAGAGGUGAAAUUCGUAGAUAUUCGCAGGAACACCAGUGGCGAAGGCGGCUUACUGGUCCAUAACUGACGCUGAGGCACGAAAGCGUGGGGAGCAAACAGGG
rnacentral:rRNA from 1 species